UCGUUUCGUAGAUUCUCUUUAGUACUUUAGGCGGGAAGUUCAAUAAUUUGAGCGACGCGCGCGACAAGAUCACAUCCAGAAGAAGUGACCGCCAUCUUGAGCUUAUGUUUCGCUAUUAAUUUUUCGCUGAAUUUAGCCCUUUUAGCUGAAAAAUUAUGCUUUUAGAGAACCAGAACGAAAGUGUAUUGCUGGUCUGAUGCUGAUGGAACCAACCUCAUUGGAUAGCUUCCUCCAUUAUUAUUGCUGGUGCUGUUGACGCCAUUUCUGUAUAUACCAAGGGGAGUUGGUGCAGCCUGGAUAAUCAGAGAAAAUAUUUCUAUAAACUGCCUGGAUUAGAAUGAUCACAAACAAUGCAAGGGAUCAAGGAAGUAACUAUUAAUUCCAAAUGGUCAUAUUAUAAUAUGGAAUCUGCUGUGGUGGAAGAGAAARACCAGAGAACCCUGAGAAGAACUCUCAAACCAAGGAUGUUUGUUAGGAGACCCAUGUCCAAGUUCCCUUGCCCAAGCUAGUAUGUGAGCUGAGUUUGUUUGAUGUGUGGUUCUCUCCUAUGCUACAAGGGUUCUCUCUGGAUUCUCUGGUUUUCCUCUCUUCAUAAGAAUCAACAUUUGCUAACAGCAAUAUACCACCACCUGGCUCUGAUGGAUAAAAAUCUUCUAUCACCUAUAUAUCACACAAAGGAAAACACUGUCAUUAAUCCAUGACGCAAAGGGCGGUUUAGGCUCUAAGAAAUAUCAUUCUUCAUUAGGAUUCAGUCCAUUCCAAAAAAAUUUAAGUCAUUUCUGGAACUACCCAAUGAACUAGAAACUGAACUAACCAACAUACCUUUACAAG